rnacentral:rRNA from 1 species
CCCGCACAAGCGGCGAGCAUGUGGAUUAAUUCGAUGCAACGCGAAGAACCUUACCUGGGUUUGACAUAUACCGGAAAGCUGCAGAGAUGUGGCCCCCCUUGUGGUCGGUAUACAGGUGGUGCAUGGCUGUCGUCAGCUCGUGUCGUGAGAUGUUGGGUUAAGUCCCGCAACGAGCGCAACCCUAUCUUAUGUUGCCAGCACGUUAUGGUGGGGACUCGUAAGAGACUGCCGGGGUCAACUCGGAGGAAGGUGGGGACGACGUCAAGUCAUCAUGCCCCUUAUGUCCAGGGCUUCACACAUGCUACAAUGGCCAGUACAGAGGGCUGCGAGACCGUGAGGUGGAGCGAAUCCCUUAAAGCUGGUCUCAGUUCGGAUCGGGGUCUGCAACUCGACCCCGUGAAGUCGGAGUCGCUAGUAAUCGCAGAUCAGCAACGCUGCGGUGAAUACGUUCCCGGGCCUU